GGGCAGGUUAAUCCGCCCAGGGUGAGUCUGGACCUAAGGCGAGGCCGACAGGCGUAGUCGAUGGAUAACGGGUUGAUAUUCCCGUACCCGUGCGCGUGCGCCCGUGUUGAUAGCCCUGAUGCUAACCUUGCUGGUCGGUGUUUCCGCUUUCGGGUGGUUGUGCCGGCUGGUCUGGGGUCCGAGGGGUGUGUAGGCAAGUGAUGGGGUGACGCAGUGGGGUAGCUCUACCCGGCGGUGGUUGUCCGGGGGUAAGCGUGUAGCCCGGGGUGGUGGUAAAUCCCUGCCCUGUUGUGGGUGAGGCGUGA
rnacentral:rRNA from 1 species